rnacentral:rRNA from 1 species
AUAUUGCACACUGGGGGGUAGCCUGAUCCAGUCAUGCCGCGUGGGUGAAUAAGGCCUUUUGGUUGUAAAGCACUUUAAGCCAGGAGCGGGCUACUCCAGAUUAUAUGUACAGAUAGUGGACGCUUCUCGCAGAAUGAGCACCGGCUAACCUGUUCCCAACAGCCGCGGUAAUACAGAGGGUGAAAGCGUUAAUCGGAUUUACUGGGCGUAAAGGGCGCGUAGGUGGGCGAUUAAGUAAAAUGUGAAAUCCCCGAGCGUAGCUUGGGAAUUGCAUUCGAUACUGGUUGGCUAGAGUAUGGGAGAGGAUGGUAGAAUUCCAGGUGUAGCGGUGAAAUGCGUAGAGAUCUGGAGGAAUACCGAUGGCGAAGGCAGACAUCUGGCCUAAUACUGACACUGAGGUGCGAAAGCAUAGGGAGCAAACAG